GUCUUUUUGAAUUAAUAUUUAUUUAAAGUCUAAUCUGCUCACUGAAUUAAAAUUUAAAGAGCCGCAGUAUUUUAACUGUGCAAAGGUAGCAUAAUAAUUUGUUUUUUAAUUGAAAACUAGAAUGAAUGAUUGAACGAAAUAUAAUCUGUCUCAAUUUUAAUUUAAUAUAAAUUAAUUUUUUAGUUAAAAAGCUAAAAUUAAUUUAAAAGACGAGAAGACCCUAUAGAUUUUUAUAGAAUUAUUAAUUAAUUUUUACAUAUAUAAGUAUAUUUAUAUUUAUUAAUAAUUAUAUUUUAUUGGGGUAAUAAAAAAAUUAAAAAAACUUUUAUUAAAUAAAAACAUUAAUUAAUGAGAAAUUGAUCCAAAUUUAAUGAUUAAAAGAUUAAAUUACCUUAGGGAUAACAGCGUAAUUUUAGUUUUAAGUUCUUAUUGAAAUUAAAGAUUGCGACCUCGAUGUUGGAUUAAGAAAAAUUUUAAAAGUAGAUUUUUAAAUUUUAGGUCUGUUCGACCUUUAAAAUCUU
rnacentral:rRNA from 1 species